AAGAGUGCAUCUCCUCCUCCUCCACCUCCUCUUCCACUUCCUCCUCCAUCACUGCUACACACCAACACAUCCCAGGAGAGAAGGAGAGAAGAAAAGGAGAGAGUCGGAGAGGGAGAGAAAGAAAGAAGGAAAGAAAAAAAAAAAGAGGACAACAUUGAUUUGACGUGGAAACUGAAGAAGAGAGAGAGAGAGAGAGAGAGAGAGAGAGAGAGAGAGAGAGAGAGAGAGAGAGAGAGAGAGAGAGUGGAGAGAAUAAUUUGAAGUGACAAGUGUCCCUCUUUCUCCUCCUCCUCCUCCUCCUCCUCCUCCUUCAUCUUCAACGGGAUGGCGCGAAGGUGUCUGAUGGUGAUGAUGAUCCUAACCGCAAUCAUAUGGUUAGUGGGGGGAGAUGCAACCCCCACCCACCACUACUCCAAGCACCCCUACCACUACCCCCAAUACUAUAACCACCACGGCCACCACUACAACCACCAGUACCCCUAUUACAACUACAACGACUACUACUACAACCACAACUACUACAACAACUACCAGUACCCCUACUACCGCGGCUACCAAUACACCCACGUCUGCAAGUACCUGGUAGCAAGACCACUUCUAAUGACGAGGCUGCACGGGCUCCUCUCCUACUACAUGAAGCACUGCUAUGGCUCAGUCUACCCCUACCCCGCCCUGGGAUGGUAAGGAAAACGGAGGCAGGGAAGGAGAGAGAAUGGGCCUCGGUGUGCUGGACGCGGAGAGGAAGGAAGAUAGAGAAGGUAAAAGGUGUGUAUUUAUGAUUCUAGAGAGAAAGGAAAUUGUUUAAAGGUGUAUAAGAUUUUAGACAGAAAGGGAGUGGUCUUUUUCCAACGUACCAAUGAAGAGAAAGUUAAAGGUAUUCACUAAUGUUGAGAGAAAGGAGAGAGAGGAUGUCUAACGCACUAUAGAAGGAAAAGUAAAAGAUUUAUAUUUACGAUUUAAGUGAGAAAGGAGAUUGUGUUUUUUAGCUUACCAAUGAAGGGAAAGUUAAAGGUAUUCACUAAUGUUGAGAGAAAGGAGAGAGAGGAUGUCUAACGCACUAUAGAAGGGAAAGUAAAUGGUUUAUAUUUACGAUUUAAAGGAGAAAGGAGAUUGUGUUUUUUAGCUUACCAAUGAAGGGAAAGUAAAAGGUUAUCAAUAUUGUAGAGAGAAAGGAGGGAAAGAAUGUUUGACGCACUAUAGAAGGGAGAGUAAAAAGGUAUAUAUUCACGAUUUAUGGGAGAAAUGAAAUUUUCUUAAACUUACCAAUGAAGAGGAAGUAAAAGUUAUCAAUAUUGUAGAGGGCAAGGAGGGAAAGAAUAUUAAGUUUACUAUAGAAGGGAAAGUAUAAGGUGUAGUAUACUGACUUUCUUUUUAGACAGAAAAGAGAAAAAAUAUGAUUAGUUUACCAAAGAAGAGAAAGGAAAAGGUAAUCACUAGUGUAGAGAGAAAGGAGGGAAAGAAUAUUAAGUUUACUAUAGAAGGGAAAGUAUAAGGUGUAGUAUAUUGACUUUCUUU